rnacentral:rRNA from 1 species
CCCUUAGAUGUUCUGGGCCGCACGCGCGCUACACUGACGAAUGCAACGAGCUUAUAACCUUGGCCGAAAGGUCUGGGUAAUCUCCAAAUUUCGUCGUGAUGGGGAUAGAUUAUUGCAAUUAUUAAUCUUCAACGAGGAAUGCCUAGUAAGCGCAAGUCAUCAGCUUGCGUUGAUUACGUCCCUGCCCUUUGUACACACCGCCCGUCGCUCCUACCGAUUGAAUGGUCCGGUGAAUAAUUCGGACUGCAGCACUGCUUGGUCUCCAGGCUUUGCAGCGGAAAGUUUAGUGAACCUUAUCACUUAGAGGAAGGAGAAGUCGUAACA